rnacentral:rRNA from 1 species
CCUACGGGUGGCAGCAGUGAGGAAUAUUGGUCAAUGGCCGGAAGGCUGAACCAGCCAAGCCGCGUGAACGACGAAGGUGCCAAGCAUUGUAAACUUCUUUUGUCAAGGAGCAAAAUCAGGCUCGAGAGCCUGACCGAGGUGACUUGAAGAAAAAAGAACGGCUAACGCCGUGCCAGCAGCCGCGGUAAUACGGAGGAUGCGAGCGUUAUCCGGAUUUAUUGGGUUUAAAGGGUGCGUAGGCGGACUGUUAAGUCAGCGGUAAAAGCCCGGGGCUCAACCCCGGCGAGCCGUUGAAACUGGCUGUCUUGAGAUGUCGAGAGGUAUGCGGAAUGCGCAGUGUAGCGGUGAAAUGCUUAGAUAGUGCGAAGAACUCCGAUGGCGAAGGCAGCAUACCGGCGGCGAUCUGACGCUGAGGCACGAAAGCGUGGGUAUCGAACAGGAUUAGAUACCCCUGUAGUC